AUUGAACGCUGGCGGCAUGCCUUACACAUGCAAGUCGAACGGCAGCGCGGACUUCGGUCUGCCGGCGAGUGGCGAACGGGUGAGUAAUACAUCGGAACGUGCCCAGUCGUGGGGGAUAACGUAGCGAAAGUUACGCUAAUACCGCAUACGAUCUAGGACUGAAAGCGGGGGAUCGCAACACCUCGCGCGACUGGACCGGCCGAUAGCAGAUUAGGUAGUUGGUGGGGUAAAGGCUCACCAAGCCGACGAUCUGUAGCUGGUCUGAGAGGACGACCAGCCACACUGGGACUGAGACACGGCCCAGACUCCUACGGGAGGCAGCAGUGGGGAAUUUUGGACAAUGGGCGAAAGCCUGCUCCAGCCAUGCCGCGUGCAGGAUGAAGGCCUUCGGGUUGUAAACUGCUUUUGUACGGAACGAAAAGGUUUGGGCUAAUAAGCUGAGCUCAUGACGGUACCGUAAGAAUAAGCACCGGCUAACUACGUGCCAGCCGCCGCCGUAA
rnacentral:rRNA from 1 species